GGGUUAAGUCCCGUAACGAGCGCAACCCUUGUCCUUAGUUACCAGCACGUUAUGGUGGGCACUCUAAAGGAGACUGCCGGUGACAAACCGGAGGAAGGUGGGGAUGACGUCAAGUCAUCACUGGCCCUUACGGCCUGGGCUACACACGUGCUACAAUGGUCGGUACAAAGGGUUGCCAAGCCGCGAGGUGGAGCUAAUCCCAUAAAACCGAUCGUAGUCCGGAUCGCAGUCUGCAACUCGACUGCGUGAAGUCGGAAUCGACUAGUAAUCGUGAAUCAGAAUGUCACGGUGAAUACGUUCCCGGGCCUU
rnacentral:rRNA from 1 species